AGACUCAAUCCCUCGGGUUUCCGAGGAGAUUGGACUUGGGUGUUGCCGCUCUGUCGGCUCGCCUUAAAAGACUUAGCGGGAUAGCGCCGUAGUCGGCGUAAUAAGUUUCGUCGGUGAGGGUUGUGAUGACUGCUUACAAUCGCCCUCGGGCAAUUUUUGA
rnacentral:misc_RNA from 1 species